UUCAGAAAUCGUUUUUUUUUAAAAUCAUAAUUAGCAUUUCUAAACACACUACUGGAAAAAAUUAAAGGAUAAAAAAAAAUCUGAAAUUUUUGGGCGAUUUUCAACAGCCCAUGUAGGAACUUACAAGCUCUGACAACGGGGCUAAGCACGGACCAGGACUGGGUAACCCAGCUCUGGCUCCCCAGUGUCGGCCCUAGCUAAGGCCCAGGACUGGGCAACCUAGCUCUGGCUUCCCAAUGUCGGCCCUAGCUUAGGUCCAGUCGUGGGCAACCUAGCGCUGGCUUUCCAUCCUUGGCCCGAGAUUAAACCAGAACUAGUAAGCCCAGCUCUGGCUUCCCAAUGUCGGCCCUAGCUUAGGUCCAGUCGUGGGCAACCUAGCGCUGGCUUUCUAUCCUUGGCCCGAAAUUAAACCAGAACUAGUAAGCCCAGCUCUGGCUUCCUAGUGUCGGCCCUAGCUAAGGCCCAGUCGUGGGCAACCUAGCGCUGGCUUUCCGCUGUUGGCCCCAAACGAGACCCAGUCAUGGGUAACCCUGCUCUAGCUCUUCAAUAUUGGCCCAAGCUUGAACCAGAACUAGUUCACCGAGCUUUGGGUUUCCACGGUAGACCCUAGCUAGGACCCAGCUAUGAAUAACUUUUACCCAUACAGGAAGCCCCCGAGUUGAACGACGGGGCCAUGCCUGGGACAUUAUUGGGAAGCCCGUCUUGGCAAACCUAUACUGUCCCAUGCCUGGGCCAUAACUGGUUAAUUAGUAUUGGCCAUUCCAAUGAUUACCCAGGCUUGAGCCAAGACUGAAUACCCUAGCUUUGGCCAACCCUAGAGUCACCCUAACAUGGGCCAAGAUUGAAUAACCUAGCCUCGGCCGUUGGAUGGUUACCCUAACAUCGGCCAACACUAGAUAACCUAGCCUUGGCCAAGCCGAGAGUCACCCUAACUUGGGAAUUAUGGUGGUAGAGUAAGAUAAUUAAGCUGGGUUCUUGAUAAAUAAUCAAUUAAAUUUAAUAAAUUUUAUUUUAAAAAAUUAUGUAAUUAUAAUAUAAAUAAUACGAAAUUAUUUUUUUCUUUCUUAAUCGAAAAUAUAGAUUAAAUUGCUCUUUAUAUUUCAUAAAACCGAGUAGUUGUAGUAAAAUGAACAAGUAGAACAUAUAAAAGUUUCAGUUGAACGUUAGUAGGUUCGUCCAGUAGCCAGCGUUCAAACCCAGCAAUCAGAAGGACGGCAGUUCGCGCCCAGAGCCCAGCAGAAUUUUCACCGAGUUUUUUUCACGUUAUUUACUUCACUUAAAUAGUUUAAACGUUAAUGAUCACACACUCUAGUACUUUAAUAAUAAUAAAUUUUUUUUUGAAUUGAAUUUAUGUGUUUUUUCGAUGCAUGGGCCAAGUCUGGCAACCAAGCAUGGGUCAGGUCUGACAACCAAGGUUGGGCCAGGUCUGGCAUGCAAGCAUGGGUCAGGGCUGGCAACCAGGCUUGGCACCCAGUUAUCAUUCCAGACUUCUACCAAGGCUGGAACAAGGCUGGCUUACAAGCUUGGCCCAGAGUUCAACAUAGUUGAACCAAGCCUGAGCCAAGCCUGGGCCCGUCGUACUUUCCUGUCUGGGUCGGGACAACAGAUUUUUAGCGUCUCCCAAAAAAAUUGUUACAAUGCAGUGAUUUUUUUUAAGCGAAAAAGUUUGUCUUUUCUUUUUAAAAUUUUCAUUUUUAAUUUGUAAUUAAACAGUGUCUUGCAUCAUAAAUUCAAACUAUUUUUGAAAAAUUGAGCAUAAUCAGUACGAUAUGUUCGAAGAUAUUGCAAAAAUCAAAAUUUUCAAAUAUGUUUUUUUUCGGAUAACUUGUAAAGUACUUCAUGGAUUCAUUCCAAAAUAUAUCCAGCUCUAAAAUUUACAAGGUACGUCGAGUGCCACCUCAACCAUCAAAAUCGGUUAAUUUAUUUCAAAAUAAACCGUUAUCGAAAGAAUUGCGAAAAAUUGUUUCUAAUUAAAUUCAAAUUGUUUAACUAAUCAAUUAAAGUUGUUUUUGAACGUUAAUGAUUAAGAAACUGGAUUGAAUGCCACCUUGAACGUCAAAAUCGGUUCAUUAUUAUAACCGGGCAGCGUUGGUAUACGACAUGAGAGUGCGGCUCUCUCGCUGUCUCUGUCUGAAUUUGGUCUUUCUCUGUCUCUCAUAUUACAGCCUGAUUGCUAAGUUUGGCUGGGUUAAGCGCUAGACCACAGGGGAUGAUUUCGCGCAGCAGGUGACCGUAAGUCGGUCAUGUGCGCAUAAUUAGGUAGGGGUCAUCGGAGGUUGGGACCUGAGACGUCUCGAUCAGGAUCGACAUUCAAGUCCAAGCUAUCGACUCGACAUUUAAGUGCAGGCAAUCGAUUCAAGUGCAGGCGAUCGAUUCAAACGACACUCAAGUCAAAGUGCUGAUACAUACAGCCUCGUUACUCGUUGCUCGAUUGUGAAAACUGUAAAAAUUCUAAAUUAUUUUGCUCUCUCUAUAAACUGGUUUAUAAAACCAAAUUUUGUUAAGUUGAUUAUCUAAGUGAUUUGUGUGAGAGUAUCCAGCACCAAGUCCAACAUCAACAGCCAGGAUCCGGAAGAGAAGGUCCAACAUGCAGCGGCGUCCAAUACCAUCAAUAUAUAAGAUGCUAUGAACGUCGAGCUCACGGUUGUCCUGCUCGGGGAAAAAUAACAAAUGAUGAACUUGAUUUAUCGAUCGUUCAUAACCAUGUAAGAAAUCCUCAGUUGCAGAAAUAUUGCAUCUUUCAAGAUGCAUUGUUUAUUGCGGCAACGGCACGCCCUUAUAGAUCCCUGAAAGUUAUAUUUGACCAUUUGAGUGUGCAAAAUCAUGAAGCAGCGUCACAAUUCACAUGGCGGAAAAUGCAGCCGCUUAUGGAAAGUUGGCGCCGCAGUGACCGACCACCUCGUCCACCGAUUCCAAGCAAUCUACAACAGUUUGCCGAUUUUUUAAACAUGCCACAGUGGGCCUAUAAUUAACUUUACUAUGAAUAAUUUUUAGUUUUAAAUAAUUCACCAGAAGUAAUAAAUAUAAUCAUAAAUUUUAACGAUUUGAGAAAAAUCUCUGCUCCAAUUUUUUAAAUGUACAUCAAUAAUAAAUUAUGAAGCAGAAAAAUUAAUUAUUUAAUUAAUAAAAUUUUACUGAAGUAAUCAUUACAGAAAAAAAAAUUAAUCAGUUGAUAAUAAAAUAAUUGCACAUUAAAUUUUUGUCAAUAAACAAUUAAAUUAUUGCACUUCAGUUUAAUGGUACGGUGUUACAAAUUUUUUUUAAUUAGUUGGAUUUAUUUUUUAAUUAAUGAACACGGGGUAAUCGAUAUUCACAAUCGAUAUA